GGCUUGUGGCUCAGGGGUAGAGCACUCGCCUAGCAUGCAUGAGGUACUGGGUUCUAUCCUCAGCACCA
rnacentral:tRNA from 1 species